rnacentral:tRNA from 1 species
UUGUAGCUCACUGGAGAGAGCGUCUGCUUUCUAAGCUGAAAGUCAUAGGUUCGAUCCUUGGCAA